GAUGAAUGCUGGCGGCGUGCCUAACACAUGCAAGUCGAGCGGCAGCGAGGGGUGCUUGCACCCUGUCGGCGAGCGGCGAACGGCUGGGUAACGCGUAGGAAUUUGCCCCAAAGUGAGGAAUAACUGCCCGAAAGGGUAGCUAAUGCCGCAUAUGGUCUUCGGAUUAAAGGAUUUAUCCGCUUUGGGAGAAGCCUGCGUUGGAUUAGGUUGUUGGUAGGGUAAUGGCCUACCAAGCCGACGAUCCAUAGCUGGUCUGAGAGGAUGAUCAGCCAGACUGGAACUGAGACACGGUCCAGACUCCUACGGGAGGCAGCAGUGAGGAAUCUUCCACAAUGGGCGAAAGCCUGAUGGAGCAACGCCGCGUGAAGGAUGAAGGCCUUCGGGUUGUAAACUUCUUUUAUGAGUGAAGAAUAUGACGGUAACUCAUGAAUAAGCACCGGCUAACUACGUG
rnacentral:rRNA from 1 species